CUGACCUCAAAUCGGGUAGGACUACCCGCUGAACUUAAGCAUAUCAAUAAGCGGAGGAAAAGAAACUAACAAGGAUUCCCCUAGUAACUGCGAGUGAAGCGGGAAAAGCUCAAAUUUAAAAUCUGGCGGUUUUGGCCGUCCGAGUUGUAGUCUGGAGAAGUGCUUUCCGCGUUGGACCGUGUACAAGUCUCCUGGAACGGAGCGUCAUAGAGGGUGAGAAUCCCGUCUUUGACACGGACUACCAGUGCUUUGUGAUGCGCUCUCAAAGAGUCGAGUUGUUUGGGAAUGCAGCUCAAAAUGGGUGGUGAAUUCCAUCUAAAGCUAAAUAUUGGCGAGAGACCGAUAGCGAACAAGUACCGUGAGGGAAAGAUGAAAAGCACUUUGGAAAGAGAGUUAAACAGUACGUGAAAUUGCUGAAAGGGAAACGCUUGAAGUCAGUCGCGUCGUCCGGAACUCAGCCUUGCCUCGGCUUGGUGCACUUUCCGGUUGACGGGCCAGCAUCGAUUUUGAACGGCGGAUAAAGGUUUGAGGAAUGUGGCACCCUCGGGUGUGUUAUAGCCUCAGAUUGUAUACGUCGGUUGGGAUCGAGGAACUCAGCUUCGGCU
rnacentral:rRNA from 1 species